rnacentral:rRNA from 1 species
AUUGAACGCUGGCGGCAUGCUUUACACAUGCAAGUCGAACGGCAGGCACGGGCUUCGGCCUGGUGGCGAGUGGCGAACGGGUGAGUAAUGCAUCGGAACGUGCCCAUUUGUGGGGGAUAACUACGCGAAAGCGUGGCUAAUACCCGCAUACGCCCUGAGGGGGAAAGCGGGGGAUUCUUCGGAACCUCGCGCAAUUGGAGCGGCCGAUGUCAGAUUAGCUUGUUGGUGAGGUAAAGGCUCACCAAGGCGACGAUCUGUAGCGGGUCUGAGAGGAUGAUCCGCCACACUGGGACUGAGACACGGCCCAGACUCCUACGGGAGGCAGCAGUGGGGAAUUUUGGACAAUGGGGGCAACCCUGAUCCAGCCCAUGCCGCGUGAGUGAAGAAGGCCUUCGGGUUGUAAAGCUCUUUCAGCCGGGAAGAAAACGCACUCUCUAACAUAGGGUGUGGAUGACGGUACCGGACCAAGAAGCACCGGCUAACUACGUG